UGCAACCACAAUCGUCCUCUUGGUCACCCCUCCUUGCGGAAUUUUACCAAAAGGGCUUAUGUCGACUAGGAUGCCUUAUUGUUUGGACUUUUCAUUAAGGAUAGACCUAGGAUUGAAAGAGUCGUCCUGUCAACUGUUGUGCCUCAACACAUUUCGGGAAGAACCAACUAGCUCUGGGUGCGAGUGGCAUUUCACCCUAACCAUGGUAUUUAGGGACACUGUACAAACUAAUAUGUAUUCAGUUCGACUUCACAAAUGUGGUGAUUGAGACUUCAGGAGUGAAUGUAGUAAAUGCGGAUAAUGAAUAGGUUUGUCCAUCAAAUAAAAGACGCCGCUAAGCAAUGUCGUAUCACAAUUCAAGCAACAUAUGGAUAACGUAUCUCAACUAAUUUCACGCUCGAAAAUAUAAAAACAAAGCACCUACUAGUACUAUUAUUUGCUUCCCUAAAGUUUAAAAUGUAUAAAGCAUGAUCCAAAGGUCCAAAAUUUUGAUUAAAUUUGUAUGAAUCUAGUCACAAAAUUAACACAUUUAACAUAAAAAUCAAUUAAUCAUGCUGAAUCUGGAUCUAAACAUAACAGAAUGAAUACCAAAACUUUUUAACAACUACAUUAUAAACUUCACAUUAAACCAAAACACUAAACAAACAGAUGAUUCAUCAUUGUACUAAUAACAGAUCAUCCAUAACCAAAAAACAAAAAUCAAAAAAAUUAAAACCGACUAAUUACUAGUAGGAGCAUUAGCAGGAACAGGAGGAAAACCCAAGAAGGGCCUUGUAGAAUUGAGACAAUUAACACUAGUAUUGAAACAAUUAUCAGCAAGAUGAAAAGUAUCCUUCAAUUUAUGAAACCCAUUCUCGAAUACUCCAAAUCCAAACAAAAAACCAAUGGCAACCACAACUGCUAUUAAGCAGACACACAACAUGCACAUCCUACCACCACAACACAUUUUUCUUCUUCUUGGAUCUGUACGAAAAAUAUUUUUUAAAAAUAUUAUGAGUUUGGAUUUGAGGAUUUGUGGGGUUUUUUGGAUUGGGUUAUAUAUAGGAGUGAUUUAAAAAAAAAAUAAAAAAAAUUGAGAAGUGUAGGUUUGGAUUUCUUUCUCUUAAUUUGUUGGUUGUUUCUUCUUCUUUGUUAUAUUGCUAGCGGUUACUCUACGCAUUGUUUCUACUUUUUAUAGGGACAUAUUGUCCCACUAAAACCAUAUUCCUCUUUUGUUUCGGAUAGUGGGGCUUUCUUAUUUUUU
rnacentral:lncRNA from 1 species